rnacentral:rRNA from 1 species
GACGAACGCUGGCGGCGUGCUUAACACAUGCAAGUCGAACGGUGAAGCGCCUUCCUUUUUGGUGGGUGUGGAUGAGUGGCGAACGGGUGAGUAACACGUGAGUAACCUGCCCCCUUCUUCUGGAUAACCGCAUGAAAGUGUGGCUAAUACGGGAUAUUCUGGGUCUGUCGCAUGAUGGGUCUGGGAAAGAUAUUGUUUCGGUGGGGGAUGGGCUCGCGGCCUAUCAGCUUGUUGGUGGGGUGAUGGCCUACCAAGGCGGUGACGGGUAGCCGGCCUGAGAGGGUGGACGGUCACACUGGGACUGAGACACGGCCCAGACUCCUACGGGAGGCAGCAGUGGGGAAUAGUGCACAAUGGGCGCAAGCCUGAUGCAGCAACGCCGCGUGAGGGAUGGAGGCCUGCGGGUUGUGAACCUCUUUCGCCAGUGAAGCAGGACUGCCUCGUUUGUGGGUGGGUUGACGGUAGCUGGAUAAGAAGCGCCGGCUAACUACGUG